rnacentral:rRNA from 1 species
UACGUAGGGUGCAAGCGUUGUCCGGAAUUAUUGGGCGUAAAGAGCUCGUAGGCGGUUCGUCACGUCGGCUGUGAAAUCCCGAGGCUCAACCUCGGGUCUGCAGUCGAUACGGGCGGACUGGAGUACUGCAGGGAGACUGGAAUUCCUGGUGUAGCGGUGAAAUGCGCAGAUAUCAGGAGGAACACCGGUGGCGAAGGCGGGUCUCUGGGCCAUUACUGACGCUGAGGAGCGAAAGCGUGGGAGCGAACAGG